GAGAGAUUGAAGGGAGAGAGACAGAAGGAGAGACGGGCAGAGGGAGAGAGAUGGAGGAGAGACAGGCAGAGAGGGAGAGAGAAAUGGAGGAGAGACAGAGGGAGAGACGGGCAGAGGUAGAGAGAGAUGGAGGGGAGAGAGAGGGAGAGACGGAGAGAGAGAGAUGGAGGAGAGACGGGCAGAGGUAGAGAGAGAUGGAGGGGAGAGAGAGGGAGAGACGGAGAGAGAGAGAUGGAGGAGAGACAGGCAGAGACAGAGGGAGAGACAGACACAGCAGAGGGAGGUGGAAGGGAGAGGUGGGGAAGAAACACCAGAGGAAGAGGUGAAACAGGGAGAGACGCAGAGAUAGGGCGAGACAGAGAUAGGAAGAAGUGGAGUAUGGGAUUGGGGGAGACGCAAAGACGAGGGUGGAUAAUGGGGUCAGAGGAAGAUACAGAGGUAAGAGGGGAGAGAGAGGAAGAUAGACAAGGUGGGGAUGGGGACACCCACAGAGAUGGGAUCAAGAUAGGAGCAGAGAGAGGCCCAGGGAGACGGGGAGGGAAAGAGCGGCAGGAAGAAGGAGAGAGACGGAAGCAGCAGAGACAGGGAGAAGACGGAGAGAGAGAGGACGGAGUGACAGAAACAGGAAUGAGGGAGGCCCAGGGAGAGGAUGAUAGAGGCGGGAAGAGAUGCAGGAAGGCGGGAGAGAUAAGCGAGGCAAGAAAGUUGGACAGAGAAGAAGACAGCAAGGCAGGAAGAGGGAGACAGAGACCCCAAGGCCACCAAGAGACACGCGCACAUGAAGGAUGGGGAAACAAUUGAGAUUGAGGGAGGCAGGCAGAGCGGAGCGAAAACAGGAGGACAGAAAUAGCGAAGCAAGGCCAAGAUCGGGACCCCCACCAGGGAGGUGCCCAGUACAGACAUGAAAACAGGAGGACACAGGCAGCCGGGGACGCCCAGACGCCUGGCCGGACGCAGGCAGGAGGCACAGAACCCAGGUACACACCAUCCAUGUGGGUUUGGGGGGGCCGGGGGGAAGGAGUGGGAGCCCCACGACACCCAGGCAGGCAGCUCAGGGUCGGUACAGACAGACAGACCCCUCCCUCCCUCCGCCGCCGCAGCGCUUACAGACACACCCCCCCUCCACCAGCCAGCCCCAGACACCCGGACACACAGAUCCUCACCGGGCAGAUGGCAGACGCUCGAGAGACCCCUGGGGGCCGGGCGGACCCACCCAGGCAACACCCCCCAGCAGGCACCAGUGGCCGAGGGAGGCUGCGGGAGGCUGCGGGCGAGGGUGGCGGCGGCGGCCGCGGCUUGGAGGAGCUGGAGCGGGAGGGACUCACACACUCGCUGUGUUCUCGCACACACACACUCACUCGGGAUGCGAUUAACAUUCAGUCCCCGUCUGCCACUGCCGGGAGACCCACAGCCCCCCCUCCUGGCCUCCCUGGGGACCCCUUCUCCUGCCAGGCUUGGGGAGGGGGCCGCCCCCCACCCCUAG
rnacentral:lncRNA from 1 species